rnacentral:rRNA from 1 species
CCUACGGGUGGCAGCAGUGGGGAAUAUUGCACAAUGGGCGCAAGCCUGAUGCAGCCAUGCCGCGUGUGUGAAGAAGGCCUUCGGGUUGUAAAGCACUUUCAGCGGGGAGGAAGGCGGUGAGGUUAAUAACCUCAUCGAUUGACGUUACCCGCAGAAGAAGCACCGGCUAACUCCGUGCCAGCAGCCGCGGUAAUACGGAGGGUGCAAGCGUUAAUCGGAAUUACUGGGCGUAAAGCGCACGCAGGCGGUCUGUCAAGUCGGAUGUGAAAUCCCCGGGCUCAACCUGGGAACUGCAUUCGAAACUGGCGGGCUAGAGUCUUGUAGAGGGGGGUAGAAUUCCAGGUGUAGCGGUGAAAUGCGUAGAGAUCUGGAGGAAUACCGGUGGCGAAGGCGGCCCCCUGGACAAAGACUGACGCUCAGGUGCGAAAGCGUGGGGAGCAAACAGGAUUAGAUACCCGGGUAGUC